GGAUCAACAUGCUGGUCCUGCUUUUGGUACGUACUGGUAUUAUUGGUUUCUCCUUUCUGAUGAAUCACGAUGUCAUUAAUUUGGUGUCAUGGGGAAUCAGGACUGUUACUUUGAAAAAAUUAGAGUGUUUAAAGCAGGCUUACGCUUGAAUACAUUAGCAUGGAAUAAUGAAAUAGGACGUUCGAUCCUAUUUUGUUGGUUUCUAGGAUUGACGUA
rnacentral:rRNA from 1 species